rnacentral:rRNA from 1 species
AUGCCUACGGGGGGCAGCAGUGAGGAAUAUUGGUCAAUGGGCGGGAGCCUGAACCAGCCAAGCCGCGUGAGGGAAGAAGGUACAGCGUAUCGUAAACCUCUUUUGUCAGGGAACAAAGGCGGGGACUAGUCCCCGGAUGAGGGUACCUGAAGAAAAAGCAUCGGCUAACUCCGUGCCAGCAGCCGCGGUAAUACGGAGGAUGCGAGCGUUAUCCGGAUUUAUUGGGUUUAAAGGGUGCGCAGGCGGCCUGUUAAGUCAGCGGUAAAAAUUCGGGGCUCAACCUCGCUCCGCCGUCGAAACUGGCG